GUCUACUUGAACUUCGGUUUGGGUGGCGGACGGGUGAGUAACGCGUAAAGAACUUGCCUCACAGACCGGGACAACAUUUGGAAACGAAUGCUAAUACCGGAUAUUAUGAGAUAUGCGCAUGCAUAACUUAUGAAAGCUAUAUGCGCUGUGAGAGAGCUUUGCGUCCCAUUAGCUAGUUGGAGAGGUAACGGCUCACCAAGGCGAUGAUGGGUAGCCGGCCUGAGAGGGUGAACGGCCACAAGGGGACUGAGACACGGCCCUUACUCCUACGGGAGGCAGCAGUGGGGAAUAUUGGACAAUGGACCAAGAGUCUGAUCCAGCAAUUCUGUGUGCACGAUGAAGUUUUUCGGAAUGUAAAGUGCUUUCAGUUGGGAAGAAGAAAGUGACGGUACCAACAGAAGAAGCGACGGCUAAAUACGUGCCAGCAGCCGCGGUAAUACGUAUGUCGCAAGCGUUAUCCGGAUUUAUUGGGCGUAAAGCGCGUCUAGGCGGCAUAGUAAGUCUGAUGUGAAAAUGCGGGGCUCAACUCCGUAUUGCGUUGGAAACUGCUAUGCUAGAGUACUGGAGAGGUAAGCGGAACUACCAGUGUAGAGGUGAAAUUCGUAGAUAUUUGUAGGAAUGCCGAUGGUGAAACCAGCUUACUGGACAGAUACUGACGCUAAAGCGCGAAAGCGUGGGUAGCAAACAGGAUUAGAUACCCU
rnacentral:rRNA from 1 species